GAAAGCCGUGUGACGCGAAAGCGUCCCGCACGGUUUGGGGUGGGGGGAAUACCUAAUCUUUAGUGAAAUAAACACAACCAAAAGUUUGGUUCACUAGAGAGGAUGUAUUUCUCUAUCACCAU
rnacentral:ncRNA from 1 species